rnacentral:rRNA from 1 species
UACGAAGGGGGCUAGCGUUGCUCGGAAUCACUGGGCGUAAAGCGCACGUAGGCGGAUUGUUAAGUCAGGGGUGAAAUCCUGGAGCUCAACUCCAGAACUGCCUUUGAUACUGGCGAUCUCGAGUCCGGGAGAGGUGAGUGGAACUGCGAGUGUAGAGGUGAAAUUCGUAGAUAUUCGCAAGAACACCAGUGGCGAAGGCGGCUCACUGGCCCGGUACUGACGCUGAGGAGCGAAAGCGAUGGGGAGCGAACG